rnacentral:rRNA from 1 species
CUACGGGAGGCAGCAGUGAGGAAUAUUGCACAAUGGGGGGAACCCUGAUGCAGCAACGCCGCGUGGAGGAUGACGCAUUUCGGUGUGUAAACUCCUUUUAUAUGUCAAGAAAAUGACGGUAGCAUAUGAAUAAGCACCGGCUAACUCCGUGCCAGCAGCCGCGGUAAUACGGAGGGUGCAAGCGUUACUCGGAAUCACUGGGCGUAAAGGACGCGUAGGCGGGUUGGAAAGUCAGGUGUGAAAUCCUACAGCUUAACUGCAGAACUGCACUUGAAACUUCUAAUCUAGAGUAUGGGAGGGGGAGAUGGAAUUAGUGGUGUAGGGGUAAAAUCCGUAGAUAUCACGAGGAAUACCUAAAGCGAAGGCGAUCUCCUGGAACAUUACUGACGCUAAGGCGUGAAAGCGUGGGGAGCAAACAGGAUUAGAUACCCUUGUAGUC